rnacentral:tRNA from 1 species
GCCUGGCUGGCUUAGUAGGUGGAGCAUGUGGCUCUUGAUCUUGGGGUUGUAGGUUCAAGUCCCACGUUGGGUG